rnacentral:rRNA from 1 species
AUGCCCAAGUUCGACAGCCUGAGCGCCGACGACCAGCUCGCCGUCCUGCUUCACCACGGCGCGGCGACGUGCUACCGGAGGGAGCAGUUCCGGGCGUUCGACUGGGUGUCGGUGAGCUCGCUGGCCACCGACGCGGCCACAAACAAGAGCCACGCCGUCACCAUCCGCGGCGACGGGGACACGGUGCGGCUGUGGCCGUCGUGCGCGAGCGGCGCUGGGGUCAGGGUGACCAAGACGGUGUCCGAAGAAGCCCCCCUCGCCGUGUACAUCGUCGACGCCGUGCUGCUGCCGAACCACCUGCGACAGAAGCUGGAUGGCGGCGACGAGCGAGCUGGUGCGUGCAAGCCGUCCGGCGGCUAUAUCGACUGGCUGCACUCCUGCAUCCCGGCCUGGGUAACGAUACUCGUGACAGUGGGCAGCAUGGUUGCCACCGUGGUCGGGUUUAUCAUCCGCCAGGACUGCUAG